rnacentral:rRNA from 1 species
GUCCACGCCGUAAACGUUGGGUACUAGGUGUGGGAGGUUUCAUACCUUCUGUGCCGGCGCUAACGCAUUAAGUACCCCGCCUGGGGAGUACGGUCGCAAGAUUAAAACUCAAAGGAAUUGACGGGGCCCGCACAAGCGGUGGAGCAUGUGGUUCAAUUCGACGCAACGCGAAGAACCUUACCUGGGCUUGACAUCCCUGGAAUCCCGCGGAAAACGCGGGGGUGCCCGCAAAGGGAGCCAGGAGACAGGUGCUGCAUGGCUGUCGU